AGCGAACGCUGGCGGCAGGCUUAACACAUGCAAGUCGAGCGGGCACUUCGGUGUCAGCGGCAGACGGGUGAGUAACACGUGGGAACGUACCCUUUGGUUCGGAAUAACGCUGGGAAACUAGCGCUAAUACCGGAUACGCCCUUUUGGGGAAAGGCUUGCUGCCGAAGGAUCGGCCCGCGUCUGAUUAGCUAGUUGGUGGGGUAAUGGCCUACCAAGGCGACGAUCAGUAGCUGGUCUGAGAGGAUGAUCAGCCACACUGGGACUGAGACACGGCCCAGACUCCUACGGGAGGCAGCAGUGGGGGAUAUUGGACAAUGGGCGCAAGCCUGAUCCAGCCAUGCCGCGUGAGUGAUGAAGGCCUUAGGGUUGUAAAGCUCUUUUGUCCGGGACGAUAAUGACGGUACCGGAAGAAUAAGCCCCGGCUAACUUCGUG
rnacentral:rRNA from 1 species